rnacentral:rRNA from 1 species
UGGGGAAUUUUGGACAAUGGGCGCAAGCCUGAUCCAGCCAUGCCGCGUGUCUGAAGAAGGCCUUCGGGUUGUAAAGGACUUUUGUCAGGGAAGAAAAGGCUGUUGCUAAUAUCGACAGCUGAUGACGGUACCUGAAGAAUAAGCACCGGCUAACUACGUGCCAGCAGCCGCGGUAAUACGUAGGGUGCGAGCGUUAAUCGGAAUUACUGGGCGUAAAGCGAGCGCAGACGGUUACUUAAGCAGGAUGUGAAAUCCCCGGGCUCAACCUGGGAACUGCGUUCUGAACUGGGUGACUAGAGUGUGUCAGAGGGAGGUAGAAUUCCACGUGUAGCAGUGAAAUGCGUAGAGAUGUGGAGGAAUACCGAUGGCGAAGGCAGCCUCCUGGGAUAACACUGACGUUCAUGCUCGAAAGCGUGGGUAGCAAACAGGAUUAGAUACCCUGGUAGUCCACGCCCUAAACGAUGUCAAUUAGCUGUUGGGCAACUUGAUUGCUUAGUAGCGUAGCUAACGCGUGAAAUUGACCGCCUGGGGAGUACGGUCGCAGGAUUA